GAUGAACGCUGGCGGCGUGCCUAAUACAUGCAAGUCGAGCGAACAGACGAGGAGCUUGCUCCUCUGACGUUAGCGGCGGACGGGUGAGUAACACGUGGAUAACCUACCUAUAAGACUGGGAUAACUUCGGGAAACCGGAGCUAAUACCGGAUAAUAUAUUGAACCGCAUGGUUCAAUAGUGAAAGACGGUUUUGCUGUCACUUAUAGAUGGAUCCGCGCCGCAUUAGCUAGUUGGUAAGGUAACGGCUUACCAAGGCAACGAUGCGUAGCCGACCUGAGAGGGUGAUCGGCCACACUGGAACUGAGACACGGUCCAGACUCCUACGGGAGGCAGCAGUAGGGAAUCUUCCGCAAUGGGCGAAAGCCUGACGGAGCAACGCCGCGUGAGUGAGGAAGGUCUUCGGAUCGUAAAACUCUGUUAUUAGGGAAGAACAAAUGUGUAAGUAACUAUGCACGUCUUGACGGUACCUAAUCAGAAGCCACGGCUAACUACGUG
rnacentral:rRNA from 1 species